rnacentral:rRNA from 1 species
ACGGGAGGCAGCAGUGGGGAAUAUUGCGCAAUGGGGGGAACCCUGACGCAGCAAUACCGCGUGAGUGAAGAAGGUUUUCGGAUCGUAAAACUCUUUUAUUGGGGAAGAAGAAUGACGGUACCCAAUGAAGAAGUCCCGGCUAACUACGUGCCAGCAGCCGCGGUAAUACGUAGGGGACAAGCGUUGUCCGGAAUGACUGGGCGUAAAGGGCACGUAGGCGGUUAAUUAAGUCUGAUGUGAAAGGUACCGGCUCAACCGGUGACAUGCAUUGGAAACUGAUCAACUUGAGUACUGGAGAGGCAAGCGGAAUUCCUAGUGUAGCGGUGAAAUGCGUAGAUAUUAGGAAGAACACCAGUGGCGAAGGCGAUCUACUGGACAGUAACUGACGCUGAGGCGCGAAAGCGUGGGGAGCAAACAGGAUUAGAUACCCUGGUA